rnacentral:misc_RNA from 1 species
UACAGAAGGCGUAUCAUGCGUUAACUUGAUUAUUCACUCUGAUCUUUUAAAAUAGCCUAAGAAUUUAAAGAUACAGGCAGCGAGACAUGACGCCUUCAGACUUGAUCCUGAGAUGCUGGCAUCGUUUGUCUUAGUGUUAAUCAUCCAGGUGAAAUUGAACAUUGUUUACUGCAAUAAGCAUUCUUUCCUCAUCAAGUUUGAGAA